rnacentral:rRNA from 1 species
UACGUAGGGGGCAAGCGUUGUCCGGAUUUAUUGGGCGUAAAGAGCGUGUAGGCGGCCGCACAGGUCCGUUGUGAAAACUGGAGGCUUAACCUUCAGACGGCGAUGGAAACCGUGCGGCUAGAGUCCGGAAGAGGAGAAUGGAAUUCCUGGUGUAGCGGUGAAAUGCGCAGAUAUCAGGAAGAACACCCGUGGCUAAGGCGGUUCUCUAGUACGGUACUGACGCUGAGACGCGAAAGCGUGGGGAGCGAACAGG